CACAUCUCUGUUUAGGGCAGGCUCAGAGCAAGUGCCCGCCCCCCGCCCCCCAACUUCCCUUCCCAAUUCCCAUGAUUUCGAAUUAAGGAAUCUCAAGAUAGCUAAAGACUGGAAGCAAAGCCACCUGGUUUAGCGCUGCACUCCCACUGGCGAAAGGUUUCUUAAACAAUUUAAUAAGCAAAGGGAGGCACGGAAGAUGUGAAGAGGCCCGCUGCAAGAAAAAGGCGAAGGGCGGCGCACAGCACGCAGCACAUCUACGCGCCGGGUGACACUCCCAGGGCGCCCGGGCGGCGGCGGCUGCGGACGCGGACAGGGGGCAGCGAGCCAGGCACCGCGCCGACCCUCAUCCCAAAGUUCCACGGCCCGCGAGGAGCGGAGAGGAGAAACCCACCUCCCCGAAGAUGACUACAUUGCACCUCCAUGUUCACCAAGCACAGUGCCUGCCAAUAACAGAUAUUGAAUGAAUGAAUGUCUAGCUGCGUCUCUUGCAAGAGCAGAGCUCAUUCUAGGGAAAUCCAGCUGCCAUGUUGUGAAUACAUUGAAGCAGGCUUAUGGAGAGAUCACAUGAUGAGGAACUGAGGCCUCCUGCAAACAUCAAGCAAAGAAUUGAUACUUUCUGUCAAUGUCAUGUUCAUGACCCUUGGAGGCAAGUCAACCAGCCCCACUCAAGCCUUCUGAUGACUAACCCUGGUUAAUGUCUUGACUACAACCUCAUGCAGGAUCCUUAGUCAGAACUACCACUUGAUCUGCUCCCAAAUUCCUGGCCUACAAGAACAGAGUGUUUCAUAGUUAGAUGAUGUUUACUAUGGUAAGCUGCUAAAUUUUGAGGUAAUUUAUUGUGUAGCAAUAGGCAACUAAUACAGGGGCUCUUUACCAAGAUCAAGGGCCUUAUAGCUGGGAUUCUCUUAGACUCAAAGUAAACCAUACAGUACUGCAUUUUAGGUGUGUGUGUGUGUGUUAACAUACAAAAAGUGCACAACUUAAGUGUACAACUCAAGGAAUUUGUACAUAUAUAUAUGUAACCACUACCCAGGCCACAAUUUCCAGUACUCUAAGAAAUCCACUUAGAAAGUGGGUGAUGG